rnacentral:rRNA from 1 species
GGCUUAGAAGCAGCCACUCAUUUAAAGAGUGCGUAAUAGCUCACUGGUCGAGUGAUCCUGCGCCGAAAAUUUCCGGGGCUAAAACGUACUACCGAAGCUACGGCAUCAUUUAUGAUGGGUAGGGGAGCUUCGUAUGCAGGCUGAAGCAUGACCGUAAGGACAUGUGGACAGUAUACGAGUGAGAAUGUUGGCAUGAGUAGCGAGACGUGGGUGAGAAUCCCACGGGCCGUAAACCCAAGGUUUCCAGGGGAAGGUUCGUCCGCCCUGGGUUAGUCGGGACCUAAGCCGAGGCCGAAAGGCGUAGGUGAUGGACAACAGGUUGAUAUUCCUGUACCGCCAAUAAGCGUUUGAGAGAUGGAGUGACACAGUAGGAUAAGCUAACCGUACUGUUGGUUAUGUACGGCUAAGCAUUGAGGCAGUCUAAAUAGGCAAAUCCGUUUAGACAAUGCUAGGAUGUGAUGGGGAAGCCCUUCGGGGCGAAGUAGCUGAUUUCACACUGUCAAGAAAAGCUUCUAUCGAGUUUAAAGGCGCCCGUACCGUAAACCGACACAGGUGGGUGAGGAGAGUAUCCUAAGGCCAGCGAGAGAACUAUUGUUAAGGAACUCGGCAAAAUGACCCCGUAACUUAGGGAGAAGGGGUGCCUGUCUAUGACAGGCCGCAGAGAAUAGGCCCAAGCGACUGUUUACCAAAAACACAGGUUUCUGCUAAGUCGCAAGACGAUGUAUAGGAGCUGACGCCUGCCCGGUGCUGGAAGGUUAAGGGGAUCUGUUAGAGCAAUCGAAGCAGUGAACUUAAGCCCCAGUAAACGGCGGCCGUAACUAUAACGGUCCUAAGGUAGCGAAAUUCCUUGUCGGGUAAGUUCCGACCCGCACGAAAGGCGUAACGAUUUGGGCACUGUCUCAACAAUAGACUCGGUGAAAUUGUAAUCCCGGUGAAGAUGCCGGGUACCUGCGACAGGACGGAAAGACCCCAUGGAGCUUUACUGUAGCUUGACGUUGGGUCUUGGUACUACAUGUACAGGAUAGGUGGGAGACUAUGAAGCAUGGACGCCAGUCUGUGUGGAGUCAUCCUUGGGAUACCACCCUUGUAGUACUGGGAUCCUAACCAUAGGCCUUGAAUCAGGUCUUGGAACACCGUCAGGUGGGCAGUUUGACUGGGGCGGUCGCCUCCUAAAAAGUAACGGAGGCGCUCAAAGGUUUCCUCAGCACGGUCGGAAAUCGUGCGAAGAGUGUAAAGGCAAAAGGAAGCUUGAUUGCAAGACAUACAGGUCGAGCAAGGACGAAAGUCGGACUUAGUGAUCCGGUGGUUCCGCAUGGAAGGGCCAUCGCUCAACGGAUAAAAGCUACCCUGGGGAUAACAGGCUGAUCUCCCCCAAGAGUCCACAUCGACGGGGAGGUUUGGCACCUCGAUGUCGGCUCAUCACAUCCUGGGGCUGUAGUAGGUCCCAAGGGUUGGGCUGUUCGCCCAUUAAAGUGGUACGCGAGCUGGGUUCAGAACGUCGUGAGACAGUUCGGUCCCUAUCCGUCGCAGGCGUAGGAAAUUUGAGGAGACCUGUCCUUAGUACGAGAGGACCGGGAUGGACGUACCGCUGGUGUACCAGUUGUUCUGCCAAGGGCAUGGCUGGGUAGCUAAGUACGGAAAGGAUAAGCGCUGAAAGCAUCUAAGCGCGAAGCCCACUUCAAGAUAAGAUUUCCCACCGCAAGGUUAAGAUCCCAGGAAGACUACCUGGUUGAUAGGUCAGAGGUGUAAGUGCAGUAAUGUAUUUAGCUUACUGAUACUAAUAGAUCGAGGACUUGACC